GAAUGAAAGAGAUCUUUGGUUUUGCCUUUGCUGACUGCUGAUCUGAUCGUCUCAAGUCUGGUGACCUGCUGCAGAAAACCCUCUCCCUCUAUCGUUGACAAGCCAUUAACAAGCAAUUUCAGUCUGUCCUAUCACUCUCCCUCUCCCUGCUCCAUCUUUUUUGACAAGCCAUUCUAUCUUCUAUCAUUUCUCCGCCAUGAGCUCUAUCUAAUUUUGACAAGCUUGAACCUGUGUUGACAAGAAAUCUAAGUUUGACAAGAAACCAAGUUUGACAAGAAACCAAGGUUGUCAAGAAACCAAGUUUUUGGAAUUGAAGUUACCAGAACUUCGUCGAUCUGUUUUCAGAAUCUGAGAGAUCUCCGCUCUCACUGCUCCUUCUUUCCUGUCAUUAAACUCUCUCA